UACGAGGGGGGCAAGCGUUGUUCGGAAUUAUUGGGCGUAAAGGGUGCGUAGGCGGUCUGAUAAGUCAUCUGUGAAAUCUAUGGGCUCAACCCAUAGUCUGCAGGCGAAACUGUCGGGCUUGAGUAUGGGAGAGGUGAGUGGAAUUUCCGGUGUAGCGGUGAAAUGCGCAGAUAUCAGGAGGAACACCGGUGGCGAAGGCGGGUCUCUGGGCCGGAACUGACGCUGAGGAGCGAAAGCGUGGGGAGCGAACAGG
rnacentral:rRNA from 1 species